rnacentral:rRNA from 1 species
ACUGCGGCGCUACCAUGCAAGUCGAGCGGUAGAGAGAAGCUUGCUUCUCUUGAGAGCGGCGGACGGGUGAGUAAUGCCUAGGAAUCUGCCUGGUAGUGGGGGAUAACGUUCGGAAACGAACGCUAAUACCGCAUACGUCCUACGGGAGAAAGCAGGGGACCUUCGGGCCUUGCGCUAUCAGAUGAGCCUAGGUCGGAUUAGCUAGUUGGUGAGGUAAUGGCUCACCAAGGCGACGAUCCGUAACUGGUCUGAGAGGAUGAUCAGUCACACUGGAACUGAGACACGGUCCAGACUCCUACGGGAGGCAGCAGUGGGGAAUAUUGGACAAUGGGCGAAAGCCUGAUCCAGCCAUGCCGCGUGUGUGAAGAAGGUCUUCGGAUUGUAAAGCACUUUAAGUUGGGAGGAAGGGCAGUUACCUAAUACGUGAUUGUUUUGACGUUACCGACAGAAUAAGCACCGGCUAACUCUGUGCCAGCAGCCGCGGUAAUACAGAGGGUGCAAGCGUUAAUCGGAAUUACUGGGCGUAAAGCGCGCGUAGGUGGUUUGUUAAGUUGGAUGUGAAAUCCCCGGGCUCAACCUGGGAACUGCAUUCAAAACUGACUGACUAGAGUAUGGUAGAGGGUGGUGGAAUUUCCUGUGUAGCGGUGAAAUGCGUAGAUAUAGGAAGGAACACCAGUGGCGAAGGCGACCACCUGGACUAAUACUGACACUGAGGUGCGAAAGCGUGGGGAGCAAACAGGAUUAGAUACCCUGGUAGUCCACGCCGUAAACGAUGUCAACUAGCCGUUGGAAGCCUUGAGCUUUUAGUGGCGCAGCUAACGCAUUAAGUUGACCGCCUGGGGAGUACGGCCGCAAGGUUAAAACUCAAAUGAAUUGACGGGGGCCCGCACAAGCGGUGGAGCAUGUGGUUAAUUCGAAGCACGCGAAGACCUUACCAGGCUUGACUCCAAUGACUUUCCGAAAUGGAUGGUGCUUCGGGACAUUGAAACGGUGCUGCUGGCUGUCCUCACUCG